CAACGCGCUCCGGGGUCAGUGAGAUUCUGAACCGGCGGUAUAGUCCGCGACCCGCCUGUGAACCGCGAUCAUCAUGAUCGCGGCGCGCAGUCGGCUGAACUGGUGUGAUUCCAGUACCGACGGUGAAAGUCCGGAUGGGAGGCAGCGCGUGC
rnacentral:ncRNA from 2 species